CAGCAGCCGCGGUAAUACGAGGGGAGCUAGCGUUAUUCGGAAUUACUGGGCGUAAAGCGCACGUAGGCGGCUUUGUAAGUUGGAGGUGAAAGCCCAGAGCUCAACUCUGGAAUUGCCUUUAAGACUGCAUCGCUUGAAUCCAGGAGAGGUGAGUGGAAUUCCGAGUGUAGAGGUGAAAUUCGUAGAUAUUCGGAAGAACACCAGUGGCGAAGGCGGCUCACUGGACUGGUAUUGACGCUGAAGUGCGAAAGCGUGGGGAGCAAACAGGAUUAGAUACCCCGUAGUCCCUGUCUCUUAUACC
rnacentral:rRNA from 1 species